GAUCAUGGCUCAGGAUGAACGCUGGCGGCGUGCUUAACACAUGCAAGUCGAACGAAGCGGUUUAGCGGAAGUUUUCGGAUGGAAGUUAAACUGACUGAGUGGCGGACGGGUGAGUAACGCGUGGGUAACCUGCCUCACACAGGGGGACGACAGUUAGAAAUGGCUGCUAAUACCGCAUAAGCGCACAGCUUCGCAUGAAGCAGUGUGAAAAACUCCGGUGGUGUGAGAUGGACCCGCGU
rnacentral:rRNA from 1 species